rnacentral:RNase_P_RNA from 3 species
GCAAGGAAGUGAGGCAAUCGCCCCGCCAGCUGGCGGGGAGGAAAGUCCGGACAUUCCCUCCGCUUAAAGCGGAGGAGCAAGGUAGCGGGUAAUUCCCGCACGCCGCGAGGCGAGAGGUGCGAGCAGAGACGCUUUAGUUUGAAAGAACUAAAGUAUCCGUUGUCUAACGGAUAAGCUUUGAUGGCAACAUCAGAGGUGAAACGGCUAAACCCUUACCCGGAUGCAAGAUCAAAUCCUUCGACAGGCUCAGGACAAGCCUAUGAAUUAAUUUUUUAUAAGCUUGUUCCGAGCCUGUCGAGGAAAAAAGUAGAUCGCUUGAGCCCAUCAGCAAUGUUGGGCCCAGAUAGAUGGUUGCCGCUCCGCUUAGGCGGAGGCACAGAAUCCGGCUUACGGCUUGCUUGCUCCA